CCAAUGAGGAAGCAAACACGGCAAUAAACUCAGUACCUGCUGUUGACAAAAACCCUGUUGCAGAUUUUAUUGAACAAGGUGGAGAGAUUCCUCAGAAUAAUGAAUCUGAUACAUACCAUUUGUACGCCACCAUCCCUGAGGAGCCAGUUCCAUUAUUGCUGAUGGGUAUGGUUUAUAGCACUGUGGAGGCACACUGAAACAGAAACUUUUGUUCAAACAACACGGAAGCCCUUUGUUUGGGAAGGCCAUGUGUUAAAAACUGACUGCCACGUCAAGACAGUUUUGAAUUCACCAAGGUUCACCAAAUUAUAUACAAACAUUAAACAUUUUCUGUGUGAUGUUCAAGAUAUUUUUGUAAAAGUAAUUGUAAUGGUAAU